UACGUAGGGUGCGAGCGUUAAUCGGAAUUACUGGGCGUAAAGCGUGCGCAGGCGGAUUGUUAAGCAAGAUGUGAAAUCCCCGGGCUUAACCUGGGAAUGGCAUUUUGAACUGGCAAUCUAGAGUGUGUCAGAGGGGGGUAGAAUUCCACGUGUAGCGGUGAAAUGCGUAGAGAUGUGGAGGAACACCGAUGGCGAAGGCAGCCCCCUGGGAUAUAACUGACGCUGAGGUGCGAAAGCGUGGGGAGCGAACAGG
rnacentral:rRNA from 1 species